GAUCUAUCCGACCAAUCGGCGAGGGGCAGAGCCGGCUGCCUUUUGUCCAUUGGCGGAGGCUGCCCGGGCUGCCACUCCAGCGCUGGUCUUGUCAGUCAAAGCCACGCGGGUGCCGAGCGCUGACAAACGCCGCCGCUUCUCAGCCUCCCGCUUGCAAAUACUGCUUGGAAUGGCUGCUUAAUUAGCUUUGAAUGGCUUUUCCUUCCAGCUCAAACAAUCUGUCACUACCAUGCGGGGAAAAGGAGCCAUGCAUAAAAAACUCCAGUCCUGUUGAGAUGCAGUAAAGUGACCAAGAAUGUCCGUUGCUAAUUGAUACUUAGCACACCGGUGCCGUACUGAAAUAGGAGAUUUUUGAUUGUAGGUUAUUAAAAUUUACCUGGUUCAAAAAAAGCCAUUGGAGAGGGAAGGAAGUGUUCUGGAUCACAUGGAUUUAAAAGUCUAUUUAAAUGGAUGCUUUCACAUCCUCAUUAUACAUCAGGCUUUCCCCCUACCACUUUCCCGGGUCUGGGGAUAUCUUGUCAGUACAUGACUCACUUCAGCCCCUUGAGAACUUUUGUAAGAGCAAACCUCUUUCCUGCAGCUGGCUACGGAAGGGACGUGUGGAGGCUUUGAAUCUUCUCUGGGGGCAUUGUAAGCCUACCGAGUUGUCUGGUGAGAGCAAGGCUUUAAUGGGAGAAGAUUCCACUGGAAGGUCCACGAUGUGUACACAGGGCAUGAGCUAAGCUGCUAUUCUCAGCCGCAAGGUAAAGAUCCAUGGAGACAGAGACGGCCCUCCGUAGUGUCACUAUGCUGCUGUUCCCAGGCCUUUCCACCACUCUCAGGGCACAGAUCCCAAGCCUUAUUUUCUCAGCUGUUUAGCAUGUUGCGUACACACCUGUUGGCCUUACGUGCCUCUCUGAGCUUGGAGUCAUGUGCUCCGUCAGCAGCAGGCAGUUUUCAGUUUGGCUGCAGCACCAGGGUAAAAGAGGAUGCCGCUGUUCCCCACCCAGGAGCAUGCACGCUCCCUGGCAGAUUGGACACUUUUGUGGGUAAGGUCCAGAAUUUAUCAGGGAGGAGUAUCUUGGUGGACUUCAAUUCAAGCAAAAUAAGCUACUAAGGUGGGCUUUCAAAAGAGCAGUGGGUACAAAGGGCUCUGAGGAGCUAGGCUUAAAGCCAUCCUGAGCCCAACCAUGUUUAUCCUUCAAGAUGCUGGAUUUCCCUUGAGCUGAAAAACUAACCUCCUUAAACUGAGAGAACCUUCUGCAGUCUCCUCCAACAACCAGAGAGAAAGGAGGAAAAGAAAACUGGCAGGAGCUGGCCCUCCAAACACCCCAGUGCUCCCAAUUUUGAUGGCACACGGAGCUAGAUUUCCUUUGUUUCUGGCAGAAAUGGAAUUCACGGCAUUUGAAAUUCCCACACACUUAAGGCAAUGUCAGUAUACUGUACACAGCAAGAAACUGCAUUCAGGAAGAAAGUGAGAUGCUGUCCCUAUUGUGUUAUAACAAAUCAAAAACAACCCCCCCCCCCAUAGUUAUCAGAGUUGGUUGCAAGAGGAGACACAUUCCUCAUGAACUUUUUGCUAAGAGCCAGGGCUAAAUCCUGGACUUGAAGUCAAAGGCAAAACUUCUCUUGACAUCAGCAGAGCUAGCACCCCCUCAGUUGCUCAUAAGAGUACUCCCAGUGAAGUCAUUGGGGCUAGUCAUGUGAAACUGCUCACCAAUGGCAGUUAAGGGUUCACAUUCUGACCCUCACCUUCCACUAUCUUCAUUCCCAUUGGGUAGGACUUGCUUCUGGCUGUUGUCCUAUUGAUUUCCACCUGAGCAAGGGCAGCAGAAUCUGCCCCUCUCUGCAGUGGCAUUCGCUACAGAGGAGUAUAAAGCUCCCAUUGAAAAGGCGACCAGGCUGCACCACUUGAGCUGCUGCGUCCAGUGGGUUCAGAGCUCUAAAGGGAUGCACGGCAACAAAUAACAAAUCUCGUGUGAGCCACAGAAGCCGGCUCCUUUCCAAAAUACCUGUGGAACUCAGAGCUGCACCCAGAGAGACGAUGAGGAAUUAGCAUGGACACGCAUGCAAAAUGGAGACCAUGGAAUGAGAGAGUUCUCUUAAAAAGAGAGGAAGAAUCGCCCCUCUCCUAGUAUUUCAGGGGACAGUGGGUUUCCUUUCCUUUAAAAAACUUCACCCCCUCGGGAAGUGCCAGAGGGAGAAGGGCUGGUGCGAGGAAUGGAAGUUCUAGGGUCUGAUUCUUAUUUAUACGAAGGCUCCUUUACACCACUGCAUCACCAAGGGGCCUGAAGGCUUGAGUAAAUCACAUUCAUACCUGGUUUAAGGCCCUUUGACGCUGCCAAAUAAAGAGGCCUUCUGCUGUACCUUUACUAAGCACCCACUCUUCCUCAGUCCCUCGAGCGGUCCUUCGGGCAGGUUUCGUUGCACAGCCACUCAUGAAGGUCACUCGGUUGUGGCUGGAAUCUUGCUGAUAGAAAGACACAUUGGGCUGGGUCCCGACAGUCUAUGCCAGCACAUCAGACAAGGUGAAGUCAGUGGGAAUUUGCUUAUAAAAGGACUGGGUCACUGGGCGAUGCCAACCACAAACAUUGCAUGGCAAAUUCCCCUUCAACUCUGAGAAUAGCUCAGGCUGAUUAACCACGCCAUAGCAACUUCCUCUGGCACUCCAGUUUGGGAGGCUGUUCUGUAUGCAUAUAAUGUCUUAAAGAAAAUGAUUGUGGCAUGGAAGGUUUAAGAGGUCUGUUCAGCACACACACCAUACCUGUAUUACCAGACUUUUCAAUACACAUAUUUACUGGGCACUUAUUAUAGAAUUACAGAGCAGAUUUCGCUUUUUUUUAAUGCUAGCCUCCUAUUCAUAUAAUAGGUCAAAGUGACCUUGAAGAAGCCAUAAUGUCCAUCAAAUUGUGUACAAGUUAGUGAUAGGAGAGUUUACACACUUCUGUUAAGGAUUCCCUCCCUCACCCCCCAGUUUUGUCUUUUUAAAUUGCCAUGGAACAGAAAGCUGAAUUUUAUAGGUAUGGAUUUUCUAAGUACCAGGCAAAGAAAUUAUACCUUUUAAAACACGUGUUAAGUGAAAAUCUGUCACUUCUGCCUGCAUUUUAUUGGCUAUUAGAGUUAUUUGAUCUAGGGCCAGAUCAUGCCCUACAUGAGAAAGGGCUUACAGAGGGGACUAGGAAUCCUGUAAGGGUUUGCACUUUAAUACAUGAACAUUUUUCUGCAUUGACCUCAAUCUCUACUUUAAAUAGCAAGGGCUUUAAAAGCUUAAGGCAAAGAUACAUUUUGACUGAAUCACACCCCCAAACAGCAGCGAGUACCUGAAGGAGUGCUGCUGGCAGUAACUGCAUCUCUCCACCCUGGCACCAUCUUUACUCCUGCCAUGGCAUUACUGCAGCUUUGUUCGGCUGUGCAUUAUAAUGUGUAUCACGUGGGAUCCCAAAGGAAGUCUUUAGUGGAUCAUGCUCUUCUGCUGACUUUUCUUAGUCUUAUGCGUCAAUGUCCAGAAUAUUUUAUUUGUAUCACGUAAGCUACAUAUCUUUAUAUAUGUAUAUUGCAACCUCAGGUCAUACACUAUUCACCAUGCUUGUAUAUUACAAUCCCGUUCCUCUACCAUUUGGCUAUCUCCAUUUUAAGCUCCUUGGGGUAAGGCUUGUCUACUAGGAAACAGUUAGCAUGGCCUAGUGGACAGAAAACUAGAUUGGGACUCAGGAGACCUGGUUCUAGUCUUGGUUCUGUCCCUGCUCUGCUGGGUGACCUUGGGCAAGUCACUUCCCCGUCUGUGGGUAUGUCUACACAGCUGAUGUUAAAUUUAAUGUGGCUGUGAAAUCACCGCUCCAGCACUGGGAGAGCUCUGCCAGCACUGUAAUAAAAUUACCUUUGCGAGGGGAACAGCUACCAGCUGAGUGAAGAAAGUUUCAGCGCUGUAAGUGGCAGUGUAGACAUGACCUGUGCCUCAGUUUCCCCAUCUGAGAAAUGGGGAUUUUGUGAGGUGCUGUUGAUGAAAAGCACUAUACAAGAGCUAGAUAUUAUAACGGUAGCUCUGUUUGUUCCCCAGCAUAAUGGGGCCAAUUGGUUAGUCAUUACCGCAUGUAAGUAGGGUGCAUAGAGAAAACAGUGCAUUAGCCAGACAUAUCUAACAGGAGGGG